rnacentral:lncRNA from 1 species
AGGUGCGCCAGAUGCUCUUCGACCUCGAGUCCGCCUACAACGCCUUCAACCGAUUCCUGCACUCCUGAGAGCGCCAAAAAACGGCAAAAAACAGCAAAAAACGGCAAAAACCAGUACAAACCAGUUCGGACCAGUCCAAACUGGAACCUCCAGAAGUUUGGAAUAAAUGGGAAGGGGAAAAACUCAAAAAUUUGUGAAAAAUUCCUUUAUUUUCUUGUUGUUAUUGGAUCAAAUGGGGAGCCAGUCCCAGUUCAAACCAGUCCAAACCAGUUCAGACCAAUAAAACCAGUUCAAACCAGUUCAGACCAGUCCAGACCAGUUCAGACCAGUCCAAAUUGGAGCCAGCAAAAGUUUGGAAUGAAUGGGAGGAGAAAAACCCCAAAAAUCUCCAAAAUUUGUGAAAAAUUCCUUU